UGGAGCUACCUCUACAGUUUCUGGGAAAUUUGAGUCGGUCUUUGGUCUUAAAGGAAAAGGGUCUACACUAUAAGCAGCGUUCUCCUUCCAGGGACCAGAGGUGAAGAUGACUUCAGUUAUGCAGAUCUACUUCACGAAUAGGGAUCUUCUUGAUGUUCCCAAACUCCCCUUGGGCCUGAAAAGGCCUAGGUUUCUCUUUUCCCAAGUUAAGGAUGGC
rnacentral:lncRNA from 1 species